AAAAUGAUGUUCCCCGGGCUCUGUCCAGGUGGCGUAGGGGAGCAUAGGGCUCUGCCCCAUGAUGUACCGUUGCUUUCCACAACAUUGGAGAGAAAGCCGGGCCUUGAAUCUGCACCUGCAUAUUCUACAACUUCUCAGAGUCCUGUGGACAAUGACGGGAGAUAAACCAUGCAGGAAACAACU
ensembl:snoRNA SNORA73 Small nucleolar RNA SNORA73 family